rnacentral:rRNA from 1 species
UACGAAGGGGGCUAGCGUUGUUCGGAAUUACUGGGCGUAAAGCGCACGUAGGCGGGUUGUUAAGUCAGGGGUGAAAUCCUGGAGCUCAACUCCAGAACUGCCUUUGAUACUGGCAACCUAGAGACUGGAAGAGGUUAGUGGAAUUCCCAGUGUAGAGGUGAAAUUCGUAGAUAUUGGGAAGAACACCAGUGGCGAAGGCGGCUAACUGGUCCAGCACUGACGCUGAGGUGCGAAAGCGUGGGGAGUAAACAGG